rnacentral:tRNA from 1 species
CGGGACGUCGGGUAGCGGCUAACCCGCGUGCCUUGGGAGCACGAGAUCGUGGGUUCGAGUCCCACCGUCCCGA